CGCUGGAGAACUGAGGGGGGCUGCUCCUAGUACGAGAGGACCGGAGUGGACGCAUCACUGGUGUUCGGGUUGUCAUGCCAAUGGCACUGCCCGGUAGCUAAAUGCGGAAGAGAUAAGUGCUGAAAGCAUCUAAGUACGAAACUUGCCCCGAGAUGAGUUCUCCCUGAGACUUUAGGUCUCCUGAAGGAACGUUGAAGACGACGACGUUGAUAGGCCGGGUGUGUAAGCGCAGCGAUGCGUUGAGCUAACCGGUACUAAUGAACCGUGAGGCUUAACCUU
rnacentral:rRNA from 1 species